GGAUGAAGAACGCAGCGAAAUGCGAUAAGUAGUGUGAAUUGCAGAAUUCAGUGAAUCAUCGAAUCUUUGAACGCACAUUGCGCCCUUCGGUAUUCCGUUGGGCAUGCCUGUUCGAGCGUCAUUUAAACCUUCAAGCUAUGCUUGGUGUUGGGUGUUUGUUCCGCCUCAGCGUGUGGACUCGCCUCAAAUUCAUUGGCAGCCGGUAUGUUGGCUUCGUGCGCAGCACAUUGCAAGCGACUUCAGCAGACCCCCUCCCAUAAGCCCUUUUUUUACUUUGACCUCGGAUCAGGUAGGGAUACCCGCUGAACUUAAGCAUAUCAAUAAGCGGAGGA
rnacentral:misc_RNA from 1 species